GCCUCCGUGGAUCAGCGCUAUAUAUCGCAUCUGAAGUGUCUGCGUCGUUUCUGAAACCUCGCAAGAGAGGUAGUGUGGGUUCGACUCCCACCGGAGGCG